UGAUGUGAGGGCGAUCUGGCUGCAACAUCUGUCACCCCAUUGAUCACCAGGGUGGAUUCGGCUGAUCUGGCUGGCUAGGCGGGUGUCCCCUUCCUCCCUCAAUGCUCCAUGUGCGUCCCUCCCAAAGCUGUGCGCUCAGUCGAAGAGGACUACCUUCCCCGAUAGAGACAGUACCAUUCAUCCC
rnacentral:snRNA from 1 species